AAGGAUCAUUACAGAGUUCAUGCCCUCACGGGUAGAUCUCCCACCCUUGAAUAUUAUACCUUAGUUGCUUUGGCAGGCCGGGGCAACCCCCGGGGCUUCGGCCUUGGUGUGCCUGCCAGAGGAUACAAACUCUGUUUUUAGUGAUGUCUGAGUACUAUAUAAUAGUUAAAACUUUCAACAACGGAUCUCUUGGUUCUGGCAUCGAUGAAUAACGCAGCGAAAUGCAAUAAGUAAUGUGAAUUGCAGAAUUCAGUGAAUCAUCGAAUCUUUGAACGCACAUUGCGCCCCGUGGUAUUCCGCGGGGCAUGCCUGUUCGAGCGUCAUUUCAACCCAUCAAGCUUCGGCUUGGUCUUGGGGCCUGCGAUUCCGCAGCCUCUAAACCCAGUGGCGGUGCCUCCGAGCUCUGAGCGUAGUAAUUCUUCUCGCUAUAGGGUCUCGGUGGAGUCUUGCCAGUAACCCCCAAUUUUUUACAGGUUGACCUCGGAUCAGGUAGGGAUACCCGCUGAACUUAAGCAUAUCAAUAAGCGGAGGAAAAGAAACCAACAGGGAUUACCUCAGUAAUGGCGAGUAAAGCGGUAACAGCUCAAAUUUGAAAUCUGCCGCAAGGCCGAGUUGUAAUUUGUAGAAGAUGCUUUGGGUAUGGCCCCGGUCUAAGUUCGUUGGAACACGACGUCAUAGAGGGUGAGAAUCCCGUAUGUGACUGGGUGCUUUUGCCUAUGUAAAGCUCUUUCGACGAGUCGAGUUGUUUGGGAAUGCAGCUCAAAAUGGGUGGUAUAUUUCAUCUAAAGCUAAAUAUUGGCCAGAGACCGAUAGCGCACAAGUAGAGUGAUCGAAAGAUGAAAAGCACUUUGGAAAGAGAGUUAAACAGUACGUGAAAUUGUUGAAAGGGAAGCGCUUGCAACCAGACUUGCACGCUGUUGAUCAUCCAGGCUUCUGUCUGGUGCACUCGGCAGCGUUCAGGCCAGCAUCGGUUCUGGUGGUGGGAUAAAGGCCUUGGGAAUGUAGCUUCUUUCGGGGAGUGUUAUAGCCCUCGGUGCAAUGCCGCCUAUCGGGACCGAGGACCGCGCUUCGGCUAGGAUGCUGGCGUAAUGGUUGUAAGCGACC
rnacentral:rRNA from 1 species